UCUCUGGUGGCUUAGCAGGUUAAAGUUCUGACAUUGUCACUGCUGUGGCACAGGUUCGAUUCCUGGCCCCAGAA
rnacentral:tRNA from 1 species